GACGAACCGUGCGAACGUUAUUCGGAAUCACUGGGCUUAAAGCGCGUGUAGGCGGGUGGGAACGUCGGCCGCUGAAAUCCCCCGGCUCAACCGGGGAAGUGGCGCCGAAACGGCCCGCCUGGAGGAACGUAGGGGGAGCUGGAACUUCCGGUGGAGCGGUGAAAUGCGUUGAGAUCGGAAGGAACGCCCGUGGCGAAAGCGAGCUCCUGGACGUUUUCUGACGCUGAGACGCGAAAGCCAGGGGAGCGAACGGG
rnacentral:rRNA from 2 species